ensembl:lncRNA
GUUGGACUUCUGGUACCCAAGCAUCACUGGCCUUGGUUUGAGGCUGGGAGGACUGAAAAAGAGGAUGUUUUCUGAGGUUGGCAGGCAAUUCUCUGCAAGCCCCAGCCCUGCCAAGUCUUUGGGAAAUCAACUCCCUUUCUAGGCUCUUAACCUCAAAAACAGCUCCCAGACUACUCACUUGCCACUGUCCCCUGAGGGGCCUGAGAAAAACCUGUAGGCAGGAGGGAAGAAAUAGACCAUCAGUGUGUGACUGCAACUCCUAAUUCCUUCCAUCCCUUAGGGUUACCUCCAGGUCUGCUCAAUGUAGUGGUCCUGCCAAAACCUUCCUACAGCAGGCCCAGGCUAGCCAAAUCAGGUACACUACUGAGAUUUUUAAUCCUCUCCACCUCAAAGUGGGACAGGAGUGGGAGUGAAAAUUCAAGAAGUUCUGUCCCUCCUUGGCCUGGGAGAGAUUUCAGCACAGCUUUUGUCAACUAUGCAGAGUUGGAGAAGACAAGACGAGUGAAAGAGGAGAGAGGAGGCAUACCGACCUGCACUCCUCCAGUCCAUUCUGGGACCUCGUUCUGGGUCCUCUGGGUCCUCAGGUUUCAUUAAAUCUGCGGAAUGCAACCUCGGGCGGAUUGCCUUGUGGUUCUUUGGUGCUUCCCCAAGGCAGCCCCCUCACUGGACUGGAGGAAAGAGCCUUAAAGGACCAGAGCUCUAAGAGGGAGGGAGGGCGUCGGAGGAAACCGGCUCCGGAGCACAAGGGCUCCAAUAUUACAGGAGCGGGGCGACCGCAGUAGAUCGAGACCUGGAGGCCCCGGAGAGGACCGAGCUGCUAACCGACCGCGUUCGGCACCUCGGCAUUCCUGACUUGGGCAAUUCCUAUGAGACCCGAUGGAAGCGCAGGCUCCCUCCAGUAAAAAGCGAAGAAGCGGAGGCAGAUUUGCCGCCCAUCCUCAGACUUACAGUCAAGGACCGCCGCCCGCAGAACUAGGACUCUAGAUAAAGAGCCCCACCGCAUCUCUGACGGCGAUGCGGUCGCCCAGCCUCAUAGCCACCCCGCCCCGGCCACCUGGGCCACCCAGCGCGGAAACCCUCUCCCUGCCUGGCAGCAACCGCUCGCUCCCAGACCCGAGCCUUGGGGAAGGAACGAUCUUCUCGCUUCCCACCGCCGCACAAAUCUCAU